UACGGAGGGUGCAAGCGUUGUCCGGAUUCACUGGGUUUAAAGGGUGCGUAGGCGGGUUGGUAAGUCCGUGGUGAAAUCUCCGAGCUUAACUCGGAAACUGCCGUGGAUACUAUCAAUCUUGAAUAUCGUGGAGGUAAGCGGAAUAUGUCAUGUAGCGGUGAAAUGCUUAGAUAUGACAUAGAACACCAAUUGCGUAGGCAGCUUACUACACGAUCAUUGACGCUGAGGCACGAAAGCGUGGGGAGCAAACAGG
rnacentral:rRNA from 1 species